CUAAGAAUAUUCCGCAAUGGACGGAAGUCUGACGGAGCGACGCCGCGUGGAUGACGAAGGCCGAAAGGUUGUAAAGUUCUUUUGCUGGGGAAGAAUAACCGCAGGAGGGAAUGCCUGUGGGAUGACAAGAACCGGCGAAUAAGCCCCGGCCAACUACGUGCCAGCAGCCGCGGUAACACGUAGGGGGGCGAGCGUUGCUCGGAAUUACUGGGCGUAAAGGGCAUGUAGGCGGCUUGGAAAGCCUGGCGUGAAAGUCUGCACUUAACUGCAGGGGUGCNCUGGGAACUGCUGAGCUUGAGUGACGGAGAGGGAGCUGGAAUUCCUGGUGUAGGGGUGAAAUCUGUAGAUAUCAGGAAGAACACCGAUGGCGAAGGCAAGCUCCUGGCCGAUGACUGACGCUGAGGUGCGAAAGUGUGGGGCAUCAAACAGGAUUAGAUACCCUGGUAGUCCACACAGUCAACGAUGUGCACUAGGUGCUGGGGCGGUAGCUUCGGUGCCGGAGCGAACGUGGUGAAGUGCACCGCCUGGGGAGUAUGCUCGCAAGGGUGAAACUCAAUGAAUUGAC
rnacentral:rRNA from 1 species